rnacentral:rRNA from 1 species
UACGAAGGGGGCGAGCGUUGUUCGGAUUUACUGGGCGUAAAGGGCGCGUAGGCGGUGCGGUAAGUCACCUGUGAAAAACUCUGGGCUCAACUCAGAGCCUGCAGGCGAAACUGCCGUGCUUGAGUGUGGGAGAGGUGCGUGGAAUUCCCGGUGUAGCGGUGAAAUGCGCAGAUAUCAGGAGGAACACCGAUGGCGAAGGCAGGUCUCUGGGCCACUACUGACGUGGAGAAGCGAAAGCAUGGGGAGCGAACAGG